AUGACAGAAGACCAAGAGCUCAGCGGCGGCAACAGGCUCAUCUCAAAGAAUGGCAAGGUCGCGUUGGGGUUCUACACGUCACGCAGCAGUAAGUCUUCCUCAGACAACACCACCUUCCCCUACUGGUAUGUAGGUAUAUGGUUCAACAAGAUCCCAAAGUUCACUCCUGUAUGGAUUGCAAACAGAGAGAAACCAAUCAGUGACCCCAAGUUUAGACUUUCCAAGCUCAGAAUCUCAAGGGAUAGCAAUCUUGUCAUCUUAAACCAUGCGACUAAAUCCAUAAUCUGGUCCAGUCAAAUAAUAGCAGCCAAAGGUGGAAGAAUAGCUAACAAAAAUACUACAAUCACGGCGGCGCUCACAAACGAUGGUAACCUUGUCAUAAGAGACGCCUCGAACCCAUCCGUCGUGUGGUGGCAGAGCUUUGAUCACCCAACAAAUGUUUUCCUUCCCGGUGCAAGGAUUGGCCGGAACAAGAUUACUGGCCAAAAAUACAGUCUUGCUUCAAAGAAGAAUCUGAUAGAUCCAGCUCCAGGCCUAUACUGCAUGGAGCUAGACCCCACUAGUGAUCCGCAGUACUUUGUUGAGCUCUGUAAUUCAUCCAUGGUGUACUUCUCCACGGGGGAAUGGAUCGGGUGGUACUUCAAUUUGGUGCCGGAGAUGUCAGACAGUAACUUUCUCCACACCAAAUUCAUCAACAAUGAUGAAGAGGAGUACUUCACUUAUGCCCCGACGGAUCCAACAAUAAUAACAAUCUGCUUCCUUGACGUCUCCGGUCUUACCAAGCAACUUCUUUGGCUUGAAAGCUUGCAAGAUUGGGAAACCAUAUAUGUCGAACCGAGGGCUCCAUGCGAUGUUUUCACCGUUUGCGGGCCUUCCACGGUCUGCAACGACAACGCACUUACAUUGUGUAACUGCAUGAAUGGGUUCUCUGUGAAGUCACCAGAGGAUUGGGUGCUGGAUGAUAGAAGAGAUGGAUGCAUGAGAAAUACUCCACUAGAACAUUGCAACAGCAACAAAAGUAACACAACAGGAUUAACUGACAAGUUCUUUCCCAUACAUAGUGUUAGAUUACCAUACUAUGCACAUAGCAUGGAAACAAUUGAGAGUGGACAAGAGUGCAUGCAGGUUUGUCUAAGAAAUUGCUCAUGCACUGCCUACUCCUAUGGCAAGAGUGGCUGUUCAAUCUGGCAUGGCCAACUUAUUAAUGUAAAGCAGUACAAUAAUGGCACAAUCAAUAGUGACAGAGAGAUUCUUUUCCUUCGUCUUGCUGCUGGAGAGGUGCAAAGUUGGGGAAACAACACAAAAGGAAAUAGAAGAAUUAUCAUAGGUCUCACUGUUGGUGCUUUCGAUUUGUUGGUGAUGCUAUUGAUGAUUUGGAGUGGGGAAAGGAAGUGGUGUUCUCAUCCCUUAAGCAACACUGAAGGUGGAUGUGGAGUUAUAGCAUUUAAGUAUGUUGAUUUGCAGCAGACAACUAAAAAUUUCUCAGAGAAGCUUGGUGUAGGUGGUUUUGGCUCUGUAUUUAAGGGAAUUCUGCGUGACUCGACUACCAUAGCGGUGAAGAUGCUUGAUGGUGAUAGAAGGAUGCUUGUUUAUGAACACAUGGCAAAUCGUUCUCUUGAUGUCCAUAUAUUCCAAGACAAUGGUUCUAUGUUAGAUUGGAGUACAAGGUUCCGAAUUGCCAUUGGUGUUGCUAAAGGAUUGUCCUACUUGCAUGAGAGUUGUCAUGACUGCAUAAUACAUUGCGAUAUUAAGCCAGAAAACAUACUUCUCGAUGCGGCACUUGUUCCUAGAAUUGCAGAUUUUGGGAUGGCAAAACUUAUGGGAAGGAACUUUAGUUGUGUUCUGACAACAAUGAGAGGAACCGUAGGAUACCUUGCGCCUGAAUGGAUUAGUGGAGUGGCUAUUACACAAAAGGUUGAUGUUUACAGCUAUGGAAUGGUACUGCUAGAAAUCAUGUCUGGAAGGAGGAACUCAUCACCUCAAGAAUGUACAGGAAAUAUUGAUCAUGAUGUUCAUUUUCCUGUGCAAGCUGCAGUUAAGCUUCUUGAGGGAGAUGUGAGGACUUUGGUCGAUCAACAAUUAUAUGGUGACAUCAACGUGAAGGAGGUUGAAAGAGCUUGCAAAGCUGCAUGUUGGUGCAUUCAAGAUUAUGACUUUGAUCGUCCUACAAUGGGCGAUGUGGUUCAAGUUCUCGAGGGUCUAGUCAAGCUUGAUAUGCCCCCAGUGCCAAGAUUGCUUCAAGCUAUAUCAGGAAGCUCUUCAACAAAUUAA
rnacentral:rRNA from 1 species